ensembl:lncRNA novel transcript
AAAACAGAUGAAUGAUUUAGUAGACCUGACAAAUCAACUACCAGUCAUGAAGUGGGAAGAGCUGAGAAUCGAUCCUGUUCAGACUGUGGGACUAGAAUAAAUUCUGUUUAGAUGGUGGGACAUAUAGAGGCAUCUGAAAUGUCAAUCCUAGUUCCUCAUGCCAAAUAAGAAGGAUUGUGUUAAAGAUUCCUGUAAAGCAGUUAAAUCUCUAGCAGUUAGAUCACAUUUCCCCAUUCCAGUCACUGAGUAACCUACCUACCCCCUUGACCCUAACAUAAGUCUGGAGUUUUAUUUUCUGAAGAGCGCAAAAAGGAGGGUUAUUAUAUGAGAGGUUCUGCCAACAAAAUGGAGGUCAUGGGUAAUAUGGGUAGCAAAAGUAAGUAACCAUCUAAAUAUUGAAUUCUGGUUGAUUGUUAAAAUGCUGUGAUAGUCAUUUGAACCAAUCACAAAUAUUUUGGUUCUCCCCUUCUUGGACAUAUGGUAGAAUUUCAAUUCUAUUUCUGUUUAAAAUUAUGUGUAGCCAUGUAAUUUCCUUUGGCUAAUAAAAUGUGAGAAGUGACAUAUAUCCAUUCUGGGCUGAAGUUUUUGGAGGCACGGUUUAACACAUUUUCUUUUCCCACUACAGUGAUCACGGAAGUAUAUGUGAAGAUGGAAUCUCCACAA